GACGAACGCUGGCGGCGUGCUUAACACAUGCAAGUCGAACGGAAAGGCCCUGCUUUUGUGGGGUGCUCGAGUGGCGAACGGGUGAGUAACACGUGAGUAACCUGCCCUUGACUUUGGGAUAACUUCAGGAAACUGGGGCUAAUACCGGAUAGGAGCUCCUGCUGCAUGGUGGGGGUUGGAAAGUUUCGGCGGUUGGGGAUGGACUCGCGGCUUAUCAGCUUGUUGGUGGGGUAGUGGCUUACCAAGGCUUUGACGGGUAGCCGGCCUGAGAGGGUGACCGGCGACAUUGGAACUGAGAUACGGCCCAGACUCCUACGGGAGGCAGCAGUGGGGAAUAUUGCACAAUGGGCGGAAUCCUGAUGCAGCAACGCAGCGUGCGAAAUGACGGCCUUCGGGUUGUAACCCGCUUUCGCCUGUGACGAAGCGUGAGUGACGGUAAUGGGUAAAGAAGCACCGGCUAACUACGUG
rnacentral:rRNA from 1 species